UGACAUGCUGGCGUCGGGAUUAUGUUUCCAGCUAGGUUGUCCCAAGUAUCUGCAGACUGGGUGGUCCACGCGGGGUUUCUCAGAAAUAAGAAUAUGGCAAUUGGACCUGAAGGAAAAUGAUGUCUCUACAAUUAAUAAUCAUGGGGCUUGGAAGGCCCAAGGAGAAAACUAGG